ACGAACGCUGGCGGCGUGCUUAACACAUGCAAGUCGAACGGAAAGGCCCUGCUUUUGUGGGGUGCUCGAGUGGCGAACGGGUGAUUAACACGUGAGUAACCUGCCCUUGACUUUGGGAUAACUUCAUGAAACUGGGGCUAAUACCGGAUAUGAGCUCCUGCUGCAUGGUGGGGGUUGGAAAGUUUCGGCGGUUGGGGAUGGACUCGCGGCUUAUCAGCUUGUUGGUGGGGUAGUGGCUUACCAAGGCUUUGACGGGUAGCCGGCCUGAGAGGGUGACCGGCCACAUUGGGACUGAGAUACGGCCCAGACUCCUACGGGAGGCAGCAGUGGGGAAUAUUGCACAAUGGGCGGAAGCCUGAUGCAGCAACGCCGCGUGCGGGAUGACGGCCUUCGGGUUGUAAACCGCUUUCGCCUGUGACGAAGCGUGAGUGACGGUAAUGGGUAAAGAAGCACCGGCUAACUACGUG
rnacentral:rRNA from 1 species